ensembl:lncRNA
AUGCAUAUUUUUCAUAUUCAGAUCAUCAAGAGACACAGGAAGUUCCUCAGAUUCGCUUUAGAGGGCAAAGCGUAUCAAUACCGUGUUCUUCCGUUCGGCUUAGCCCUGGCUCCCGAACUUUUUCAAAAAUGCAUGGACGCAGCUCUGGCCCCGUUGCGGCUCCAGGGCGUUCGUGUGUUGAAUUACUUGGACGAUUGGCUGGUGCUAGCUCAAUCACAGACUCAAGCACUCUCUCACCGAGAUUUAGUGCUGAAUCAUUUAAGAAGCCUGGGCUUAUGCACGAAUUUCCAGAAGAGUGUUUUAAUCCCCUCUCAACGGAUAACCUUUCUGGGAAUAGAUUUGGACUCUCGCGCGAUGACAGCCAGACUAUCUCUCCCGCGCGUUCAGUCUCUCACGUCAUGCGUGCGUCACUUCAAAGUAGGCCGCACAGUGACGGUGAGUUUGUGUCUCAGGCUGUUAGGUCUGAUGGCAGCGGCAUCCCCUGUAAUUCGUCUGGGCUUACUUCACAUGCGCCCUUUUCAGUGGUGGACGAAAAAGUCAGAACAUUUCACCCCGUUGUUUUCCGCAUCGUACGAUUUCGGUGACACGGAGGUGUGUUAUGUCAAUAAAACAGUGGAUGUCAACCGAGUUCCUUCUAGCCGGAGUUCGGCUGGGGAUUUGUGCUUCCCGAGAGACUGUCACGACGGACGCGUCUUUGACCGGUUGGGGAGCUGUUUGUCAAGGGCGCCCAGCUCAUGGAGUGUGGACAGCGACACAACGCGGUUGGCACAUAAACAGGUUGGAACUACUGGCAGUUUUUUUCUAGCUCUCCAGUAUUUCUCAAAUCUGCUGACCGGCCGUCAUGUACUACUCAGGUCAGACAACAUGGCGGUUGUGUCAUACCUGAAUCAUCAAGGAGGGUUACGCUCUCGCCCCCUGUGCAGGCUGGCGAGGAGUAUUCUUCUUUGGUCUCGGAACAGAUUUCUAUCGAUCCGAGCAGUUCAUGUCCCCGGACGUUUGAACGUCGGAGCGGAUCUGCUAUCCAGACAGACUCUGGAGCAGGGGGAAUGGAGAUUACACCCACAGACGGUGAGCCUUUUUAUGGCAGAUAUUCGGAGAGGCGAGAGUGGACCUUUUUCGCGUCGAGCACGACUACGCAUUGCCCGCUGUGGUUCUCCCUAUGCCCUCCAUCGCCCCUAG